rnacentral:lncRNA from 1 species
GUUAACAUAUUUUCUGCUACACUUUUUUAUUUAUUUUGGUUCUUGAUUUAUUAGAUACCAAUUACACAUCACUAGCUUUUAUUAUUCUCAGGUUCUGGACCAGCGCAGGGAUCUGGUGCCGGCGGCAAGAGGAACGUGACGGCGAGUUCAGAUGUCCCUGCGGCGCCGAAGAACAUUGCUGAUGGAGGGAAAGCAUCACUCCAGCCGAAACGCACUCCUGUUUCCGACAAGGAAAUCGAAUCCAUAAUGGUUAGAUACUUUCAUUACAAAAAUGGAAAUAAAUAAAUAAAAAGACAAGAAACAGUGUUACUAACUCUUAACUCUUGUUUUUAUUUUUGCUUUGAAUCUUGUAGUUGGGAGGUUGCAUCUGACGUUUUAACGUUUGAAGAUUUGAUCAACACUUUGGGCUUCUGUCUUUUUCGGCUGGUGAACUUUUAUUAUAUGCUUUUUUU